rnacentral:lncRNA from 1 species
ACCUCUACCCAGAUACUGCUUCUCCACGAAGCCUUUCUUCACACACAUACAUGCAUGCGAGGCUAUGGUGACACCAAGCCCUGGAUGCUGGUCCCACGUGGCGUCAGAGGGAUAGUGGCAUGUUUGUAAACCUAAGACAGCUACAAGUCAUUCAUUCACUGGGAGACAUCACUGAGGCCAUCAUCGGCACCAGACCCUACAGGCCCUCAGAUGGGUGUGGACAGACUGGAUGUGGGCACACACAAUGGCCACUGACCAGACUGCCACCAUAGUCCAUUGUGACCUUCCAGAAUCUGUGCAUGUGCAAACAUGCCCUUACAUGACAGUCUUCGCGCAUCUUCUGAACCCUGCUUGGUCAUUUCCAAGAAAUAGAUCUCAUGACUUAUAAAUUCCGGUGAAAUACAGUACAGAUCCAAGAAAAUGUGGAAAUGAAAGGAACAUGCCAUGAUGCAUUGGCCCAUUCUUCUGUGGAUGGACUUCAGGAUUGUUUCCAACCUGGGGCUGCUGGGAAUACGGCUGCUGUGACACUUCGGAUACAUGAUGAAGAAACCAAGAGCUACAGAGGUGGAGCCAUCUGCCUGUCUGGCGCUGCUGGUGCCAUUUGUGCCACGGCCCAUCUCCUGGACUUGAGUCCAGGGCUUCUUUUUACGGACUCUCUGGCAAACAGGCGGGCCCCUUCUGUGAGAACCACUGAUACAGUCCGACCGCCUCAUUUGGGGAAGAGAAACAGACCCAGAAAACAGAGGCAUCUUGUCUAA